GCUUGUCUCAAAGAUUAAGCCAUGCAUGUCUAAGUAUAAAUGCUAUACAAUGAAACUGCGAAUGGCUCAUUAAAACAGUUAUAGUUUAUUUGGUAAUAAAAUUACAUGGAUAACCGUGGUAAUUCUAGAGCUAAUACAUGCUGUUAAGCCUGACUUCUUGAAGGGCUGUAUUUAUUAGAUAACAGACCAAUAUUCCUCGUGUCUAUUGUGGUGACUCAUAGUAACUGAUCGGAUCGCACGGGCUUGCCCGCGACAAACCAUUCAAGUUUCUGACCUAUCAGCUUCCGACGGUAGGGUAUUGGCCUACCGUGGCAAUGACGGGUAACGGAGAAUUAGGGUUCGAUUCCGGAGAGGGAGCCUGAGAAACGGCUACCACAUCCAAGGAAGGCAGCAGG
rnacentral:rRNA from 1 species